rnacentral:lncRNA from 1 species
AAGUAAUGAACAUGGCAUCAAAGCAAAUAGCAAGUCGCCGAGAAGGGGCUGAGAUCUACCAUGGAGCGGCUCUUUGCAAGCAAAAAGCGCAUGAGCUCCUCGACCACUUCCAUCUGCCAAAAGGGUUAAUGCCUUUGAGCAACCUCGUCGAGGUCGGGUUCAACCGGACCACAGGCUUCAUCUGGCUGAAACAGAACAAGACUUUCAAGUAUUGGUUCAAGUCCCUUGGAGCCUCCUCAUAUGGUCCCGAGAUUACAGCGUUUAUUGAGGAUGGUCGGAUGCGGAAGUUGACAGGCAUCAAAAGCAAGGAGAUGAUGAUCUGGAUUACUCUUUCUGAUAUUUAUGUGGAUGAUGCUGAUCCAACCAAAAUCACUUUUGCUACUCCCAUGGGAUUGUCAAAGAGUUUUCCGGUGACUGCAUUUGAAGAGGAGGCAGAAGAGAUGAAAUAAUUUUGUUUCCCACUGACUAGUAAAUUGUUGAAAAUAAUAUAUCAUGGUAAAGAUUUUAAAUUUUAUUAACGGAAUUAAAAGAUUGUCACAUAAGUAACAUGGGCAAUAGUUUAACUUCCUUUAAUAAAUUUUAAAAAUACUUGCUGAUAUAUAUGGAAUAAUAAUCAAAUAAUGUAAUGAAUAUUUGUGGAUUUAUAUUGUUUGUUUUGAAUUUAAUAAAAUUAUGUGUCCCAUUUGGUUGAUAUACUUGAUAUUGAAUUCUUUGUAUUUGGUUGAUACACUUAUAUUAGAUUAUUUGUUUUCUAUUUUUUUAUAUUAAUUAUAAUUCUUGUUUGUAAAUGGAAUAAAUCUUAUUAACAUUUAUAACAAUAAAAUAUUUUUACUGGAAAUCAUUUAAUGAAAUUAUAAUUUUUAUUUAUCAAUUGGAUAAAUUUUAUUCAUAUUUUUAAUAAAAGCAUUUAAAAUGAUAAUUUAAAAUUGUAAUGAAUAAAUAUAUAACUUCAAUUUAUUCAGUUAAAUGUUUUACCAAUUCCUGUUCUUUUAUUUAUAUAAAUAAAUAUAUAUGUAUACAAAUUAGAAGAAAUUAGAACAAAGGGUAAUAAUGGUUAUGCUUUGAACUAUUGGCUAUGUUGGUCUCUUGAAAGCAAAUUAAGUCUUUCCAUGAAGGGUUCUUGAUGCUUAAUUCAGCUACUCAGAUGCAAAACCGGACCAACUACAAUACAAAUGGAAGUUAAUUAAGGCUCCGUUUAAUUGUUACUUUUACUUUUAUUUUUCUUAAAAUAAAAAUAAAAAUUAAAUUUGAAAUAAAAGACAAUAGCAAAAGGAAAAAAAAAAAAUUAUCAGCGUCUAAAAGAUUAGUUGAAAUUUGAAAAAAAAAAAAAAGAAAAUUGGGAAGGAGAUAGGAAUUUUUUUUAAAAAAAAAAAAGUAUAGUUCAAUAUUUUGGUAUUUAGCCAAAAAAAAAAUUUAGACGGUAUCGUUUUCUUUUUUUUUUUUUUGAUGAAAAUAAUUUUUUAUUAUUAUUAUUAUUAUUAGUAUUAUUAUUUGUAUGAAAAUACUAUAUUGCUUAAUAGUUAGAAAACUUAGAAACACCCUUUUUAUUUGUUUUAUUUCAUUCCAAAUAAACAUAUUUAAAAGUCGAACUAUUUGUCUAAGUUUAAAGAUCCAUCUAAGUUUAAAGAGAGUGAACAAAAAAUUAAAACUCGUUAAAUGAAUUUAAGUAUAAUUUUAAAGUCCAUUUAAAUUUUAGGUUGAAUCUUAAAUAAAAAAAUUAAAGCCUAGGCUCAGCUGAAUCUAAAUAAAAUAUAUAAUUAAAAUAUUAUAAUUAUAUGAGUAUAUAUAUGUGAAUUUUUAUUUUAAUAUUUUAUUUAAAAAUAAUUUUUUUAUUUUUUAUUAUAUAAAUUAAAUUUCAUAGGUGAAUUUGAAAUUUUUUUUUUAAUUUAGGCCGAACUUUGAAAAAAUUUUAAAGUCUAAAUAUUGGAUCAAACUUAAAUAAAUAAAUAAGCUAUUAAUACUAAGUAUGAAUCUGAUUCAACUCAAACUUGACUUAUGAACAUCUCUAAUUCCAACAAAAUAAGGGCAAAUUAAAAAUGUUUUCGUACUUAGGUUUUUUACUAUUCUUAAUUCAUCUUGUUUCAAAAAACAAACAAUAGUGAUAGAAAUAUAAAUACUCAAGAUCACAUCUCACGCAAUGGAUAUUUAUUUUUUUAAUUAUUUUAAUAUUGAAAUAUAAAAAAAUUAAAUUAUAACAAUAAUUUUAAAUUAAUAAUAUAAGAAAUUAUAUUUAAAAAAUUAUAGUAAGAAAAAGUUUGCUAUAUUAUUGACUUAUAAUUAUCCUUUUUUUAUGGAGAUUCUUCGCAGAAUAGAUCUUAAGCAAUGUAGCUUGUGUUGUUGAGUCAUCAAAAUAAUUUGAUUUAUGUGUAUUUAUAUUAUUUAAUAAAUAUAUUAAACUUGAAUUAUAUUAAAUACUAUGUACAUUUAUCCAUAAUUAAUUAAAUUUAUUAAUAUUAUAAAUUCAUGAAUGAUUAAGUUCGUAAAUAUUUAUAUUCAUUUUGGAUUUGAUUCAUAAUUAAUUAAUAGUAAAUAUAAAUUUAGUUUCAAAAUUUUAAAUGAUACAGAAAAUGAAGUACAUAUAUCCAUAGUUAAUUGAGUUUAUUAAUAUCAUAAAUUUAUAAAUUUAUCACAAAGAUUGAUAAAAUAAGAUAAAAGUCUAUGUAUGUUAGAUAUUGAUAUAAUCCAUUAAAGCUAUAAUUAGACUAUAAACAUCACCAUUCGAGAGGUAAAUAAAGGGUAAACACUUUUUUAGGAGAAAAUGUGCAAAUUUAUUAUUCUAUUUACGUGAAUGAUUCAAAUUUACUAUAAAAUUUUCAAUUGGUACAAGUUUUGCAGGACACUCUUAAUUUUAAAACAAAUUUAUCAUUAUAUUUCUAAUUUUAGAAUAACCGUGAUCAAAAUAUAACAAUCGAAAAAUAUUUCAUAUACUAUUUUGUUAAAAAUUAUUUUACAAUUGUAAAAAAGGAAAAUAACAUGAUAGAAAAAAGAACUAUAUUUAUAGAUAAUACUACUUAUAUCUAUAUUAAGUAUUUAAAGACUGAAUGAUUUUUCAUAGUUCCAGAAUUCCUCAUGCCUCACGAUUUUUUUUUUCCAGAUUCAUAAUUAACAUAUAUUUGACAUGCUUAUACGUUGCUUAGUGCACACACUUUAACCCAGUCAUGCUGCCUUCAUUUCCAUUUCUUUAUAGAAAACGAAAUCCUCAUUUCCAAGAUAUCAGCCUAAAAUUUAUCCAUUUUUAUAACAGUAUAAAUAAAUUUAAUCAAUCUCUAAAAAGAAAAAUCACACUCCAACACGCAUAAAAUAAAGGGUUUUAAUUUUAAUUUUAUUUUUAAUAUAAUCACACACAUUGUGUUGUUUUAUAUAAUACUAUAUAAAGAAUGAAAAAUAAAUCAUACAAAAUGUGCCAAUCUUUACAAAACAAAUUUUAAAAAAUAAAAAUAAACGUCAAUCAAGUAUUAGUUGAGAUAGCAUGCAUGGAUGUUGGUUAAUCUCUUGAGAUUAGAGUUUGAGAGACUUAAAGGUACUACAAGAAAAUGAAAGAUUAGUGAUAGUUUUGUAGUGCCGUUUCACUUACAAAUGUGGCUAACUUUCGUGUUUUUAUAAAAUUUAAGGCGUUUAUUAUCAAAAUGCCACUAAAUAUUCAAAUACGGUGUUGUUAUUUAUAAAUGUCAUCAAAUACUUGAUAUUAGCGGUGUUUAUCGACUAAAAUACAUUGAAUAAUCUUAUCUUAAAAAUUUGAGUAAAUACUAAAUGCGUUUUUGACAGAAAACAGCUUGAAUAAUCCCAUUAAAAAAAUUGAUAGAGAAUUACUAAAGGCAUUUUUGGCAAACAACGCCUUCAAUAAUCUCCUUAUAAAAAAAUGUAUGUGAUUAUUGAAGGCGUUUUUUACAAGAAACACAUUUAAUAAUUCCACCAAAAAAUUUCACAGGUUUAUUGAAGGCGUUUUUGAUCAAAAAUAAUUUCAAUAAAUAUCAUAUUAAAAUUUUAGGAUCGUACAGAUGUUAAACAUAAAUUGGUAGGUUUAAUCCUUCCCUUUAGCAUUUUUUAGGUUUUGGCAGAGAUUAUUUGUAAUUAAUUAUUCUAGACGUUUUCUAGACAAAAACUUCUUCAUCAAUUAUUUUUAAAAAAUUUGGAGAGAAUAUUGAAGGCGUUUUUGGUAGAGAAACACCUUUAAUAAUCUAUAGGAAAAAUAUUAAAUCGAUUCUUAAAGGCGUUUUUGGUCGAACCCGCCUUCAGUAAUCCAUAUACAAAAGUUAGAACGGAUUCUUGAAGGCAUUUUUGGCUCAAAACGCCUUUAAUAUUUCACAUGAUAAAUUUGAAUGAUCGAAUUAUUGAAGGUGAUUUUUUUAAAAACCGCCUUCAAUAACAUUUUGUAAUGGAUUAUUCAAGGCGUUUUUGGUAAAAAAAUACCUUUAAUAAUCCAUACGAAAAAUAUAGAACGGAUUAUUGAAGGUUUUUUUUGUUGAAAACGCAUUCAAUAAUUCAUUCAAUUAAUUUUUAGUUGGUAUUAUUGAAAGUGAUUUUUUUUUAAAACGCCUUCAAUAAUUCAUACAAAAAAAUUGAAACGGAUUCUUAAAGGUGUUUUUUUGCCAAAACGCCUUUAAUAUUCCACACAAUAAAUUUUUAAAUAGGAUUAUUGAUAAAAAACGCAUUCAAUAACAUUUUGUUAUGGAUUAUUCACGGUGUUUUCUUGUUAAAUAUACCCUUAAUAAUCCAUAGAAAAAUAUGUGGAAUGGAUUCUUGAAGGCGUUUUUGGGUGAACGCACCUUUAAUAAUCCAAUUAAUAAAUUUUUAACAGAAAUUAUUGAAGGUGGAUUUUGUCAAAAAUGCGUUCAAUAAUCCAUACACAAUAUUUGGAACAGAUUCUUGAAGGCGUUUUUGUCCCAAAUGCCUUUAUUAUUCCACACAAUAUAUUUUUAAGUGAAAUUAUUGAAGGCGAUUUUGGUUAAAAACGUCUUCAAUAACAUUUUGUUAGGAAUGAUUCAAGACAUUUUCUUGCUAAAAAAGCUUUUAUUAAUCCCAUAAAAAAAUAUUUUUGGUAUUGUAUAUGUCAAGUUAGUUGUAAGUUUAUGUCAAAAAAAUAUUUGAAGUUAGUUGUAUAUUUUUGUCCAAAAAAUAUUUUAGUUAUAUAUGUGAUACUACGAAUUACAUUUUAAAAUUUAUACAAUGAACAUUAUUAUAUUUCAAUAAAUUGAUCAUACAUCCAGAUUUAAAACUGAUAACGUUAUUAUAUUAAUAUACUUUUCUAAAAUAAUUGUACUCAAUAAUAUAUUAAGUACACAUAAUGUAUUCAUAUUAAGUAUACCAAUAAUAUUAAACCAAUACCCCAAUCUAGAAACUUAAAAUUUUCAUUUAACAUAGCAUGUUAAAAACAUUAUAACAAUUUGUUCCUUAUAUAUUUACAUUCAACCAACAAUGUCUAACCUCAAGGUUUAUUAACAUUUAUAAAUGAUAAUACAUACUCACACCAUUCUUUACGGACUUCAUUCAGUUCUUCUACCUUGAAGCUUUCUUUACUCUCUCACUAAAAAAAAUCAGAGGUAAAUGUUAAUAAAUGAGAACAUAAUUUAACUUUUUAUUUUUUUGAAGAUAUAACGAGUUUAUGAAAUUUAUACUAACCUUGAAUGGUGUGGUCAUAAAAUCAUAUAAAACUAUCUUCUGCAUAAAACGAAUUACAUAAUAUCCACAUUCAGUAUUACCAGAUUGACGAGGUACCUGAAAAUUAAAUUGAGUGGGUUUAAAAAAUAUUUAUCUACAUAAACUCCACAUAAAAGAAUAAAUUUUACAUUUAUCGAUAAUGACACCCAUUUCGAUUUCUUUGCCUUUUUAUCGAAUGUAGAUAUUACCCUAAAUUGAAAAGAAAAAAUUACUUAAUACAUAAAUAUAAUUACUUAUGAAGAAAUAGAAGAUAUAUAAUAUAAAAAGUGUAAUACCUCUUUAUAAAAGUUUGAAUAUCGGGGUUAGGCAUCAUCGUUUGAUUAACUGAAUUAAGUAAGUAUGACGUUAAAGAUUUGGUGUCAAUCACAAUAAACCCCAAUGAUGACUACAAAAUAAUGACAAUGUAUACUCAGAUUAUACAUCAAUCAAAUUUGGGUAAGGUUAUAAUAAUUAAAGUUGGAAUAUAAUUUAUUGCGCAUUACAUGAGAGCAAAUAAUAAUUAGUCAGUUUUUUCAUCCAUUCAAUUACAUGAUUAGCAUGAUAAGCGACUGUGCCACUCUGCUCACUAAUGAAGUUAGAGUCAACGAAUCUAAAUCUAUUAGUCAACUGUCUCCCAUUGAGCUUUCUAUAUAGGAAGCUGCACAAUAACAAUAAAAAAUACUAAUUAGUAUUACAUCAUAAUAUAGAUUAAUACAUAUUGAAUGUGCAUAUUUGUAUUUAUAAGCUAACCUCAUAUAAGCAACAAUAUCAACAUCUGAUAAUUCAUCCAGUUCAUAAAAUUAUUUAACCUCCUCCACACCAAUGAAAGAAAAUGAUGGUUUAUCAAAUAACCCUUCCUCAGACUCAAUGGUUAUGAAAUUUCCUCCAGAUAAAUGCACCAACGAAUAAUUAGAUAACUUAUCCAUGGUAGCCUGAGUAAGAGUCAUACUCUAAGUCCAAACAUCUUACUAUAAUAUUUAAUGAAAUAUAAGUAUUAAAACCAAAUCAAUAAAUAUAAUAAACAAAUUAAUAUUAAACUUAUAAACAAAAUCAUACUUCAUGGGUGGUAGCAAAAGAUAGGUUUGCUACCUGACUUGCAACGAAAGCUUGUCCUACAUGGACGAUGCUAUCAGACUAGCCUACUAACAUGCUAUGCUACAUUGCUACCAACAUAGCUUCAAAAGCAGCGAGUCUUUGCUAUUACUUAUUGAUGUGUUGCUCCUAGUCAUCAAUUCAUUAUUGUUGUUACUCAAUGAUUGCUUUAUAUUGUGCAUUUCUCAUUCGCGGGAUUUUGGGUUGAUUACUAAAAACCUUUGAUGGUAAGAAAAAUUUACUAACCCCACGAACCUGACCAGGCCUUUUUUUAGCGCCUAAUACUAAAGAUAAUGAAUCUUUGCCAUACUGGAUUACCAGUUCAUUAGAUUUGACUUUGGCAAUAUAAUCAUCUUGAAAAAUAAUAAUAAGAUGGACUAUAAUAAUAAAUUAUAAAAGCUAGUAUACAGUCAUGCAUACAACCACAAUGUCAAUCAUACAUGAUAUUAAAAAAAUAGUUAUACAUAUAAUAUUUUUUACCAUUUCUUCGGUUGUUCAUCUGCAAAGGAUCCAUCCUUCCGUAGAUGUCCUUAUUUUCAGACAUUUCAUUUGAAAACUUCGAUGUCAGAGCUCGCUGAUUCUUAUUAAAUUAUUGCAAUAUAAGAAUCAAAAUGUAUGAAAUGAAUGUUCAUAAAUAUUCAUUAAUGAGUAUAAAAUAAGUGUACAAAUACAUACAAACUCAUACUUCACAUUUACAUAUCCCUUUCUUGCUGUCCAAUGGUGAUAUUGUUGUUUGGCCUGAAUGUUCCAUUGGUUUUCUUUGAUUUUUUACAAAAAAAAAAAUUACAUCAAUCACAUAUGAAGAUCAAAUGAUAUAUUGCAUAAAAACUUAUAAACAAUUUUUUUUGGUAAUGAGUUUGCGUACUGAAAAAUCUUCUGAAAGUCGAUAUCAAACAAAAUUUUUUCAAUCUUUAACACUCAUUACAUCUACAUAUGAUGCAGGUGGAACAGUCAAUACAUCACCUUGAUCAGCCAACGGUAAAAUAUAUUGGGUUAUCAAUCUACUUUUAAAGUCUCUGAAUACUUUUUUAGCAGAUUGUAACAUAAUUUUUUUACAAUCAAUUAGGACGUCAAACCAUUCCUAAAUAAUUUAACACAAUUAGUAUGAGCACAUUGAAUUUCAAUUAAAUGAUCAUUUAACAAAUUUUAUGAAAUAGUUGAAUAAAUAUAACACAACUGAUUGCCAUAUAUCAUUUUUUAGAUCAUCAAGAACUCAUCGUCAAUUGGUGUGUGUAAUUGAAGUCCUACUACAGACAACGGCUCCAAUAUGAGUAGCCAACUUGACAGCUCUUUUAGACACAGGCUACCCACUUUAAUUGAAGUCAACGUAAAUUUUUAUGUCACUCACUUUAAUUUGUUUAUUUAGGCCUUUUCCUUUUCUUUUUUAGCUUAUAGUUGUGUCUUGUACAUGUUUAAUAGAAUGAGAAUAAUGUUGUUCAAAGUCCAUAAUACCUAUAAUUUUGAUCAUAAUUAUAUGAAUUACACAAAAUGAUCAUCUAAAUUUAACACUGUACUAAUUAAAUACAACCAAUACCAUACUAUGUACAAAAACACAAUUUAGCAAACCAAUCAACAAUGUGCUUAAACACACCCUUCAGCAAACCAUUCAGAAACACCAUUCAGCAAACCAUUAAGCAUAUGAUUCAGCAUACCAAUAUCAUACAAUACCAUUCAGUAAAAUAAUCUCACACAACAAGGUUCAGCAAACCACAAUGUUUAAAGAAAACUACACAGAAAUAGCAUACAUGCAAUGAAAAGUGCUUGGACGACUAUGUUUAUGAUGAAAUUAAUAAAAAUAUAUAUGCUUAUGUAAAUAGUAAAGAACUGAAAAAAAUAGCUCUAUCGAAUAAUAUAAAUAAUACAGUAAACAAAAAAAUAAAGACAUAUCGAUAAACAGAGAGGUGCGCGCUGUUGAUUUGUUAAAGGUUGGUGGCGACUAUAGGUAUAAAGAAACCAAAACUCUGAUAGAAAUAUGUUUAUGAGUUUGGUUUAGUUCAUUAAUAUAGCUUUUAAUCGUUCUUUGUACUAACAGCUUGUGAUUCUGAUGUUCAAGACAGGAUAUAAAAAUGAUUAUUAAAGGUAUUUUUUUGAAAAAAAAAUAUCUUCAAUAAUCUCCUUAAAAUUUUAGUUGAAGAUUAUUAAAGGUAUUUUUUACUAAAAAACGCCUUUAGUAAUCCAAAAAAUAACUUUCAAAGAAAAUUAUUAAAAGCAUUUUUCUUCAAAAAAUAUCUUUGAUAAUUCUGAACAAAAAUUAUUGAAGGCAUUUUUAGUAGAAAAUCAUCAUUACUGAUAUUUUUGUGAUAAGAAUAGAAGGAAUUAUUGAAGGCGUAUUAUACAAAAAAUACCUUCAAUAAAUUCUUUGAAAAAAUUAUAACAAAUUACUGAAGGCAUUUUUAUGAAAAAAAAUGCCUUUAAAAAUCUCCUUAAUAUUAUUGAAGGUGUUUUAUAUUAAAAGAUACCUUCAAUAAUCUUAAAAAAAUUUUUAAAAAAAUUAUUGAAGGCAUUUGUUCUAAAAAAAAUACCUUCAAUAAUUAUGUACAUAAAUUAAAUGGAAUCAGUAAAGGCAUUUUUCUAAAAUAAAUACCUUCACUGACCAUUUUAAAAUUUGAGUAGUGAAAUAUUGAAAGCGUUUUUCAUUGAAAGACGCUUUUAAUAAUCUCAAAAAUUUUUGAAAAAAAUUAUUAAAGCCGUUUGUUCUAAAAAAUGCCUUCAAUAAUUAUGUAUAAAAUUUUUUAAAAAAAUUAUUGAAGAUAUUUUUUGGAAUAAAUGCCUUCACUAACGGUCUUAAAAUUUGAGUACUGGUAUAUUGAAGGUGUUUUUUACUAGAAGACGCCUAUAAUAAUUCAAAAAAAUUUUAAAAUAAAAUUAUUGAAGGCAUUUGUUUUCAAAAAAUAUCUUCAAUAAUUAUGUACAUAAAUUAAAUGAAAUCAGUGAAGGCAUUUUUUUAGAAUAAACAUCUUCACUAACCAUCUUAAAAUUUGAGUAGUGGAAUAGUAAAAGUGUUUUUCACUAGAAUACAUAUUUAAUAAUCUCAAAAAAAAUUUUAAAAAAUUAUUGAAGGUAUUUGUUUUCAAAAAAAUGACUUCAAUAAUUAUGUACAUAAAUUAAAAGAAUUUAGUGAAGGUAUUUUUUUAGAAUAAACGCCUUCACUAACCAUCUUAAAAUUUGAGUAGUAAAAUAUUGAAGGUGUUUUGCAUUAGAAGAUGCCUUCAAUAAAUUUUUUCAAAAAAUAAAACCAAUUAGUUCAACCAUUUUUCUAGAAUAAACACCUUCAAUAACCCCUUAAAAUUUUAGUAAUGUAAUAUUAAAGGCGUUUUAUACAGAAAAUAUCUUUAAUAAUUUUAAACAAUUUUUUAAAAAAAAUUAUUAAAGGCGUUUUUAGUAAAAAUUACCUUCACCGAUACUCACAAAUAAAAAUGAGAGAAUUAUUGAAGGUAUAUUAUACAAAAAAUACCUUCAAUAAAUAAGCCAUAUAAAUUAGAUAAAAUUAGUGAAUGCGUUUUUGAGGUGUAAACGCCUUUAAUAAUCCCAAACAAUUCUACUACGACUUUGUUGAGGUGCCUAUAAUAUAUUCAAAAAAUAUUUAAGAAAAAAUUAUUAAAGGCAUUUUUCCUAGUAAAUGCCUUCAAUAAUCUGAUCCAAUAAAAUUGUCCCCAAACUUAGCACAUCUAAUCACCAACUUUAAGCUUUAUCUUUAUUAUUUUACUAUUUCUCUUUCAGAUCAACUACAAUUUACUUUCUCUUUCCUUCAACUUUUAGUAUUUGAGUAUUGUCUUUUAGAACCCUAUUUUGACUAUUCAUUAGUUAUUUAUUUUAGCUUUUACUUCAUUCGACUAUUCCUUCAGCUUUUGUAAUUUGCGAUUUUCUUUUUGGUUUAAACAAUUUUCCCCAAAACUCACUUUCCUUAAAUACCCAUUUGUAACCCAUCAUCCACUUCUUUUUCCCUUUCAUUUUUUUUGGGUUUUCUUUGUACUUAUUUUACCUUAUGUUAACCCCAACUAUAAAUUCUCUUAGGUACUAUCUACAUUAGCAGUAAAGUUUUAACAUUCAUAAUAUCAGGUAGCUGAUAAAAAUACUUCACAAUAAAAAGUUCUCAUUGUUUGUAAGUACUGGUCUUAUUAUUAUCUUUUGUUUAAAAUAUAGUAAACUUAAGUAUUUUACAUGUUCAUGUUCAUUUUCAUAUAAAUUAUUUAUAUACAUUUGGUCUGAUAAUAUAGCAAGUACUAAAUGGAUAAGAGUUGGAUGUAAAAGUCAAGAUUAAGUCAAUAGUACAAAGAUGGAGUAGAAAAUUUUCUUAAUUUUACAUUUGAAAAUACAAGUGAAGAUAAUAUGAUAUUAUGCCUAUGUGUGAAGUGUGCUACUAUCGAUUGACAAAUGAGUCAAGUUAUUUUUGAACAUGUAAUUUGUAUUAGAUUUCUCUAAGGAUAUGGUAAUUGGUAUUUUUAUGAAGAGUAUGUAUCGUCAAGGUUUUUCACUAGAGUUCUUUUAACUUCAAGGGCUCUCCAACACCAAUAUGAUCAUUUUAUAGCAGAUGACAUUGAAAGCAUAUUGUGAGAUACUUUUAACAUUUAUAACCAAUAUUUCUAUAAUCUUUCUCUCCAAAAUGAUGGAUUUAAUCAGUCCAAUAUUGAAAUGAAUGGAUUUGAUGAAUUUAGGAUAGGUGUACAUAACCAACAACCUAGAGAAGAAGCAUCGAAGUUUUGUAGGUUGCUUGGCAUUCAAGGUUAUCUUUCUGUGUUCAUCUUUUUCACUUGAAAUGCUUAUGUGGAUGGAUGAAAAACUCUCUGAUUUUAUUAUUAGAGUUUAUGAAAGAAAUAUUUUUUUUAUAAAAUUUUUUUAAUCUUGUAAGGAAUAAAAAAAGACGAUCAAGGAUUUAGGUUUCGGAUAUGAGAAAAUUCAUAAUUAUCCUAAUGAUUGCAUGUUGUAUUGGGGUGAUAAAAAAAAUCAAGAAUCUUAUCAUUUGUGUGGUAUUUCUCGUUGGGUGGAUAAAAAUCUUAAUGAAAGGUUGAACGAUGAUGGUAAUGAGGUCUGUGUUAAAAAGAAGAUUGUUAAGGUUUUAUGCUAUAUUUCAUUAAUAUCAAAACUUCAAUGACUCUUCAUGUCUUUCAAAACUACAGAUUUAAUGAGAUAGCAUCAUAAGAAAUGGAUAGACGAUGGACCAUUGAGGCAUCUCACAGAUUUUUUGACAUAAAAAUUAUUUCUUCUAGGUUUUCAGACUUUGUAACUGAUCCUCGAAAUGCUAUGUUUGGACUAGCAUCUGAUGAAUUCAACCUGUUCAAAAUGAUGAGUACUUCUUAUAAUACUUGGUCAAUGGUAUUGAUUCUUUACAAUUUCCCACCAUGGAUUACUAUGAAACAAUAAUCAUUUAUAUUGUCUAUGAUAAUUCUCAAGAAAAAAAGUCCAGGUAAUGAUAUAGAUAUCUAUUUACAACUUCUUAUUAAAGAGUUAAAGUAAUUAUGAGAAGGAGUUAAGACCUAUAAUGCAUUAAAAAAAAAGAACUUCAAUAUGCAUGCUGCUUUAUUAUAGACUAUCAAUGAUUUUUUUUACUUAUGUGAAUUUAUCUGAUUGAAGUAUAAAAAGUCAUUAUGCUUAUCCAUGUUAUGUUGCACAGACAUGUUUGAAGUGGUUACCUAAUAGUAAAAAGUUAUGUUAUAUGAGAAAUCAUCAAUAGUUAGAUGAUAAUCAUCGAUUUAGAUUCUAAAAAUAUCUUUUUGAUAGAACUGAAGAGUUGAAAAAAUCACUUUUACCCAUUAGUAGGUCUAAUAUCUUGUCAAAGUUAAAAGAUAUUAAUUUCACUUAUGAAAAAAUGACUCCAUCAAAGAAAAGAGUGAGAGACAUCUUUGAAGGUGUCUGGCCUCAUAUUACGUAAAUUGGUGAUAUUGAUACUGAAGUUGGUGAUCUUGAUGUUCAAAGUGAUGAAAAUGAUGAUAAAGAAGAUAACCCCAAUGAGUCUGAGUUGUGAAAAAAAAGAAGUAUCUUUUUUGAGUUGCCUUAUUAGAAAUAUAAUUUAUUAUGUCAUAACAUUGAUUUGAUGCACAUAGAGAAGAAUGUUUAUGAAAAUUUUAUCGGGACAAUUCUCAAUGUGAAUAGAAGAUCAAAUGAUGACUUAAAAAGUCAGCUUGACUUAGUUAAUAUGGGGAUUUGCCCUGACCUUCAUCCAAAAUUGCUUCCUAAUGGUAAAUAUUGAUUGUUUGCUGCUUGUUUUAGAAUUUUUAAAGCUGAAAAAGAUGUGUUUUGCAAGGUUUUAAAAAAUAUCAAAGUUACAGAUGGCUAUGCAUUAAAUAUAUUGAGAUGUGUAAAUCUAAAAAAGUGAAAACUUUCUUCAUUGAAGUUACAUGAUUAUCACAUUUUGAUGCAAGACUUACUUUCAAUUACUUAACGUUCAUCAAUAACAAAGCAAGUCACUUCUAUGGUAAUUGAAUGAGUAACAUAUUUAAAUCUUUAUGUGAGAAAUGUUUGAAUGUGAAAGAGCUUGACAAACUUUAAGAUUAAGCUGUGAUUACUUUAUGCCAUUUAGAGAGGAUUUUCCCUCCAAACUUCUUCACUAUUAUGAUGUAUUUGGUUAUCCACCUUUUAUAUGAAGCAAAAGUCGGUGGGCUAGUUUAUUAUUGAUGGAUGUAUCUUAUCGAAAGGUAUUAUUGUUUAAUAGAUUGAUUAGAUUUGUAUUGAUGAUCAUGCCACUCUAGUUAAAAAGAUAUAUGACUAAUAUUUUAUGCAAUAAAUUUUUGGAGAGGUUAAAGUCUUAUUAUCGUGACAAACACUAUCCGAAAGGUUCUAUUGCUAAAGGAUAUUUAGUAGAAGAGUGUAUGACAUUUUGUUCUUGUUAUUUGAAAGAUAUUGAAACAAGAUUUAAUAAACCAUCGAAAAAUAUUGGUAUGUAGCAUACUGACUCUAUCUAUAGUUAUCUUUUUCAAAGUUUUGAAUAGUCAAUAGACAAAGCUGAAAUAGUGGAGUUAGAUGAUAAAUCUUGAGAACAAACAUAUCGAUAUGUUCUUUUUCAUCAUGACUCUAUUAAAUUGUUUCCCACGUAAAUUUUUUAACAAGAAAAUUAUUCAUUACAUUAAGCAUAAUUUAUUAUAUUUUUUUAUUGUUAAUACUUUAUCAUGAUACUUUGUAGUGAGUAUAAAAAUAAUUUGAGAGCUUCUGUAUAUUAUCGAUGAUCAAACCUUCGAGAGCUUGAUAAUUUAUUCAUAAAAAACUUUCAUGAAUGGUUAAGAGCAACUGUAAGUAAUGCCAUACUUCUCAUUAUGAGAAAUCUACAUAGAAUGCUUACGGUAUAACUAAAAUUAAUAAUAUAUAUUAUUUAUUUCACUUUUAUAGGUUUGGAGUGGAAGGCUUAUUAGUGAAGAGGUGAAGUACUUUCACAAGAUCCGAACAGGAUUGUGAAAUGAUACAAAGGUUUCAUUAUCAAUGGAUUUAGAUUUCACACUAAAUCUCAUGAGAGAUUUAGAAGUAUAUAAAAUUCAAAAGUUGUUAUUACUUCAUCAACUACUAGCUAUGUUAGUGCUAAGGACACAAACCCUUUAAAGAGAAAUGUUGACUAUAAUGGCAUGAUUAAUGAUAUCAUUGAGUUGAAUUAUUAUGGCAAGUGAAAAGUUAUCUUAUUUUGGUAUGAUUGGGCUAAUGUGAAUAGUAUGAGGGGUAUUAAGAAAGAUCAGUAUGAAUUUAUACUUAUAAAUUUUUUUCGAUUAAUUCAUACUAGAUAACAACUUAUUGAUGAACCUUAUGUUUUUUCAUUUCAAGUCAAAUAAUUUUUUUAUUCUAAAGAUCCUAAAGAAUUAUGUUGAUUUUUUGUUCUUCGAAAUACACCUAGAGAUUUAUUUAAUAUGUAGUUAGAUACAAGAGAUGAUGUUAAACAUGGAACUGAAUGUUAUCCUUUUGCUGAACAAAACUUGGAUGAAAAUAUCUCUAGUACCUACGUUCAGUGGGCCCGCGAAGAUGUUAAUGAAGACAUUUAUGAACCAUGAUGGAUCAUUUAUAUUUUGUAAUUCGAGUAUUAAGACAUAAUGUAAUAAAUGAUUUAUGUAAUUAAUGUCGCAUUCACUAUUGUAUAUUUAUUACAUUGUAAAUUAUACAUUAUCUUUUGAUUUAAUUAAAUCGAUUUAUUCUUUAUAUAUCGUAGGUUACGAUUUUUUAACUUCUCAAUGUUUUUAUAUAUAUUCUAAACUAAUAUCUUUUAUAUAUUCAUUUUUAUGAUACAGGUAAGCUACAAUGCGGAGUAGAUUGAAUGGAAUGCAUAUCAGAGAUAUUAGUUCAAAAUCAUCUAUGGCACCUGUUGAUAUUGGCUAUGGAUUGAAUCUUUUGAAGGGGAAUGAAUGUACUGUUGGAUUUAACUCAGUCACUUCUAACCCUUCAACUGAUAUUGGAUUUGACAAUAUGAAAGGUCCAAGUUUAGAUAGUAUCCCGUCAAUUGAUUAUGCUUUAAAUUUAAAUACAGGUACACAUACCCUAUAUUUAGAAUUCAAUUAUAAUGAUAAAAGUAUUGCCAUUUUACAAAUUUAUUUUUUAUUUUUUACAGUUGAUAACAAUGGUCAACAGAGGACCAGAGGCCGGAUAACUUUGAAGGAGUUUUUUGCACUACCUCCAAACGAGCAGAUUGUAGUGUCUGCAAACUCUGAUAGACAACCAAUUGGUGAAGAGGCCCAACUGUUGGCUGAAUUUCUGGGCAUGCUUGCCCGUAAUGGAAUGACCUUGCCUAUUCAUUAUGAAACAAGGCAUAAAGUUCCAGUAGAAGUUAAGGUCGAUACUUUAAACUUUAUUGAUGUAUUAGUAUAAUUAAUUACAUAUAAAAAAAUUAUUUUAAAUUUGGUUAUUGAUUAAAACUUUUCUUUUUGUAUUAUUAUAGUCAAGAUUUGUACUUGAAAUACCAACUUCAUUUGUGCUUAAGUCAUUGGAAAAGAAAUGAAAAGAUUAUAAGCAUAAUUUGAAGAAUAAGUAUUUUGAUCAAAAUACUACUGUAAAGGCGAUGAUGAAAAAUCUAUCCCGUAAUGUGAUUAGGUGGUAAUAUAAAUAAUUAGUUAGAUUUUGGUUCUCAAGAAAAUGAGAGGUACUAAUUUAUAACUUUGUAUAGUAGAAUGAAAUAAUGAAAGUGUUUUAUGCUUUAAGUUGGUAAUAUUUGUAUUUCUACCAUAAACGUAAUUAUUUUUUAUGAUAGAAAAGAGAACAAAUUGGGAUUGGAAGCAGAAAGCAACAGAAAUAUAGCCACAAAAAGUGGAUCAAAAAGUUUUGCAAGAAAGCAAAAAUAAAUAGUAAGUUUAUGAUUUUAAACUUAUUCCAAUUAAUGAACUUUUUGUGUCGUUAAAAGGUAAAUAUGCAAAUUAAUAGUUAGUGUUCUGUUUUAAUAGUUUUGAUAUUUUCAAUACAUGAUAUUAAACUUAUCGAAAGUUUUGAACUUAGUUGACAUGAAUGAUAUGUAUGAAAAAGUUAUUAUUUAUGUCUAUUUAGGUAAAAAUACAAAUUUGUUGUUAUUGUUCUAUUUAAACAAUUUGAAUAGUUUCAAUACUUGAUAUUAAACUUGUCUGAUUGAUUGAACUUGGUUUCUACAGUUGAUAUGGGUGAAAAAGUUAUCGUUUAUGUCUAUUUGGGACUAUUUUUGCCUUUAAAAGGUAAAAAUACAAAUUGACUUUUCGAUGGCUUUCAACUGUUUGAAUAGCUUCAAUCCAUGAUAUAAAUUUGUCCAAAUAAUUGAAUUUAGUUACCAUGAUUGAUAUAUGUGAAAGGCCAAAAUGCUUUUAUUGUUUGUCUGUUUAAGACUAUUGUGUUAUUAAGGGGCCAAAAUAUAAAUACAUAAUAUUAAAAUUAUUUACAAUUUUUUAACUUAAUUGACAGGCUUAAUAUGUAUGAAUAAGUUGAGGUUGAUAUGUAUCCUAUCAAAUAACAUAUGUUUUGUGUAGGAGAUUGAGAUGGGUGGUAAAAUUGAACGUGUGAAACUUUUUUGCUUAACAUACACAAAAAAGUAUGGAUCUUACAUGAAUAUCAAAACCCAAGAAAUUGUGGUAAUUUGUAACAUCUAUUUUAACAAAAAAUAAAUAUUUACUCUUUUUAACAUAUUAUCAAUUAAUCAUUAAACUUGAUAGUUAAAUAUGACUAAUUUAUAGGAGAAAGUGAAAGAGAAAAUGAUUGUUGAAAUUUAAGUAGCAUCUGAUAGUUCUCUCAACAUGCAAGAAUUGAAAAAUCGAAUAUUCAUAGAAGUUGCUGGAAAGAAAGGCAUGGAUGCGUCCGAGGCCUUUGAUUGGGUCCAACACCAUCUACCUAAUAUGGACAUAACUCUUAGUAAUUUAUAUUUUCAAUAAGUCAGUCUAAGUGAGACAUUUCGAUAUUGAGAGAGGAGUUACAAACUAUACAAUAACAUUUUCAGCAAAUGAAAGCAGAAAGAGAAUAGGAGAGUGUCAAAAUUGAGGAAGAACGUGUUAGAAUGGAGCAAAAAUAUGCAAAAUUUCAGUACUUGCAUGAUCGAUUUGAUCAUCUUAUGAAUUUUGUGCAACAAUUUUCAGAAACUUAUCUCAGUGAUCCACCAACUCAAGUAUUAUAUUUAAUAAAUAUUUAUAUUUUUUAAUAUAAAAAAUCUUACAAUAAAGUGUUAAAAAUUGUAUGCUAUUAUUCAGUAGGUUCUUGAGUACGCUAGUGAUCAAGACGAAAAAAUUUCUUCAUCAAUUAGCAGCCUUCAAAAUCUAUGCAGUCAUCAAUUUCAUAUAUUUUAAUUUUUAUUUUGUUAAUAUAUUAAAAAAAUUUGAAUGUUAUUAUACUAAUUAUUAAAUUUUGUGUUAAUUAUAUGCAUAUUUAAACGUGAAUUAAGUUUAUAUUAAUUUUAGUUUCUGAAUUUAAGCUCGUUUAUAAAAAUAAUAAAUAUUAAUAGAAAUUUUUUAUUUUUAAAAAUUACAUUUAUUAAUUUCACGGCGUUUGUGUUCAAGAAUGUCAUUAAAUGAAUAAUUUAGUGACGUUUGUACUAUAAAAUAUCACUUAAAAAUAGCAGUGCUCUUACUAAAAAAUAUGCUAAACUAGCGACAUUUUUUUUAUACAAAUGCCAUCAAAAUAAUGAUUUUUUCUUACAAAAAUAUCAUUAAAUUAACGACUUCUCAAAUAUACAAAUGCUACUAAAAUAAUAACGUUUUAUAAAAAAUAUCGUUAUUUUUCACUACACGUAUAUAAUUGACAUUUUAAUUAAUAUUUUUCGUAAAAACCACGAAUUUUUUUAGUAAUAUUUAUAAAUACCACUAAAUGUUAAAAAAACACCAGUAAAAACUUAAACCCCAGUAACGAGGGUAUAAUGUCGUGGCUAUAUAUAAGGAAGGACCCUUUGGAGUGUUAGAAUUGCAAACUCAGUUCCCCACAAAGGAACGAACAUAGCUUUGCAGCGAAUAGCAGCUCACCGAGAAGAGGCUGAGAUCUACCAUGGGCCGCUUUUUGGAAGUAAAACUCACUGGAACUCCUCGACGAGUUCCGUCUGCCCAAAGGGCUGCUGCUUUGAACGAUCUCGUCGAGGUCGGGUGCAACCGGAGCAGAGGGUUCGUCUGGUUGACACGGUUAGCAGAAGAGAUUGGAGAACAAAUUCAAGGCGAUUGGGAAAAACGUCUCGUAUGAAACCGAGUUGACAGCGUUCAUUGAGGAUCGUCCGAUGCAGAGGUUGACAGGUUUCAAAACCAAGGAGCUGCUGAUCUGGGUUACUAUUUCUGAUAUUUCUGAUAGUAAUCCUAGCAAGACCACUUUUUCUACACCCACGGGGAUGUCACGGAUUUUUUCGGUCGCAGCUUUUGAAGCUGAAGGAAAAGAGAGGAAGUGAGGGUUUUUCUUUUCUUAGUAUCUACAUCUGAUUACACUAAUGUCGUUACCCAAAAAUAAUUUAAUGAAUAUUUGUGUUUUUAUGUUGUCUCAAACUCUUAACGUGUGUUUUUUCUUAAACGAGAUUUUAGGUUUUUUUUUUUUUUUUAAUCUAUUGAAAUUUAAAAUUCCAUUAGAAAUAGUUUUCAAAUGUCGAACGAUAUAAAGAACAACUCUAAUCAAAUGUUCUACUCAGUUCUCACUCUCCCCUUUCUCUCCUAAAAAUUUAACAGGAUGAAUUUGUUUUUAGUGGGUUUAAAUUUCCAAGAAUUAGAGAAUUAGACCAAAACCCCUGGAAAUGAUGAUUUCUAGGCUUUAUUACCGGAGUUGGGUAACAUUUUAGCAAGACAACGUACCUUUUUAUGGCAUGCACAAAUAAAUAUGAAGCCGAUGAAAGCCAAUAAAAUUAACCAUAAAUAAACCUCUUUGAUGUGGCUAAAGUUAUUGGUCAUUUCUCACAGUUGCAAAUAUUAUCAAAGUCAUCAGAACAUAAACAUUCUAAUUUCUAGAUUCAUAAACAGAUUGAUUUGUUCCUUCUUUACCAGAAAAGAAGAAGAAAGAACAUGAAUUAAGAUCAGUACUGCUGUUCUUUUGACAUACAACUCUCCAACUGGGUUGAUUUAUACGAAUUGAAUCGCAAUUGCUAGGAAAGAAACCCAUAUUUUCCACUUCAUGCAUGGAGCACACGCUACGAAAAAGCUCCUAUUCCACGAGACAAGAGCCCUGCAAACGAUGCGAAUUCACAUGCCUCCUUCCAAUUUUCCCGGCUACGUAUUAAAUUUACAAAUAAAUCACCAUAUUGCGUGUAAUGGACUAAAAACAUGCUUCCAUAUUGUCAAAGCAACAAACAUCUUAGUCGUAGGAUUGGGGUAUCUUAACUGGUAGCCAUUAAUGUUGGCUUUGUAUUAUAUAUAGGUUUUCUAGAGUUCAAACUGAAUUUGACGAAUGGACUGUUGAAAGUCAAAAGGGUGUCACUUAUAUUAUGACCAAGAAAAGCAGUAUCACUUAAAGCCCUUGAGCCAGCUUGAACUUAUCUUCCUAUAUAUAAAUGGCAUUUUUUAUUAUUAUUACUUAUUGCUGGAUUUGUCAGCAUUUGAACCUAAGCCAUAUUUCUCAAGGGUUUAGUCCAAAGACCAGUCAUUUAGGUAAAAGACAUUGUUAAUUCCGCCAUAGGUAACACAUAAUUACAAGUUGAUUAUUGGCUAUCCUAUCAUAUCGAGAUUGAAACUACUUACGAUGGAUGCUUAUUUUUAUGCAAUUGUUUUGAAAUUUAUAUUUUUUUCCUAUUCUUUUGCAAAUAUAUUUAAAAACAGAAAAUAAUGUAAGAAUUAUUUAUAAAAAAAUUAAACAUAUUAAAUAAUAUUUUUUAAAAUUAUGAUAAAUUUAAAUACUCAUAUUAAGUACAAAUAAAUUAAAAAAGAAAAAUUAUUUUAAAAUUAAUUUUAAAUUGAGAUGAGAUGUGUAUAGAAAAAACUUUCCUAAAGUUGUUUUGGUAUUUAUAUAUUUUUUUCACAUUUUUUGUGUAAAAUAUAUUUAAAAUCUGAAGAUAAUAUAAUAAUUAUUUAUCAAAAAUAUUAAAGGUAUUAAAUAAUAUUUUCAAAAUUUGUGAUAAAUUUAAAUAUUUAUAUUAACUUCAGAUAAAUUAAAAAAGAUAAAUUAUUUUUAAAUUAGUUUUAAAUUAAAAUGAGUUGAUAUACAGGAGAAAGAAAUUUCAUUAAAAUUUAAAUUGAUUUUUGAUUAAAUUUUAAAAUUUUGGAUCAUUUAAUAUUUUUAAAAUAUAUUUUUUAUAAAUAAUUUAAAAUUAAUAAUAUCUUAUAUAUCAUUAUAAUGAAAAAUUUUAGAAAUUAUCAUACGUAUCGAAAAAAGAAGCUAUUCACGUAAUUGUUCACAUCAAUAAUUGUUAUCCGAUAACUAUAUAUGUUAUAAUAUAUAUAUAUAUAUAUUUAUAUAUAUGAUGCAUAAGGUUAAAUCAUCUUAAACAAACUUAAGCUUUGGGCAUUGUUCAAUCAUCUUAACUAUCUAAGUUCAUGUAUUGUUCUUUUGUAAAGCUGAAAUUAUUAAUGUCAUUAAAAGUUACUUAAUAACCGAUUUGCAUGGAUUCGUAACAAAUCACGUAAGGAUAAGAAGUAUUCAAAUUAAACAAAUGGAAUUGAUCAAACAAAAUCCUACUCUAAUGCAUUCAUUUAUUUAAAUUUCGUAAUCUGUUUUGUAUAGCUUUUCAAUUUUGUAAUUUUAUCCUUUUAUUAUUUUUGAAUAAAAGAAAUUAUAAUCUAAAAAUAAAAAAUAAAAAUGUUAUUAUUUGAAUUUCAACCUUCUAAAUGCUACUUCUUAAUUAUAAGUAUAUGAUCCGAUAAACUUAAAAUAUACAUGUCAAUGAACAUGACAAUAAGCCUGCAUUUUCAACUUCUCUCGAGCUUAAAUCUUCAUAAUACUAUAAAAUUUGGAAACUUGAAGUAAUUAAUAAUAAAGGAAAUAAUUGGUUUUAAACUAUCCAUAACUUGAUGAAAAUCAAAGGCCAUACGAGCUUUUCCAAGCGUAGAAAAUAAGUGCUUCUUUAGCUUAUUGGAUCAACCAAACACCCCGAAGUCCCUUGUUAUUAAAUUAGAGUACCAGUUUUGGAGCUAAAUUUCCUAGUCCAAUUUAAACAGCCUUUCUUAACCAUCAAUAAGUAUGAGACUCAUAAUGAGCUUGUCCAUUGUAGGGUGAGCUGCUUUGAAAAUUUGAUUAAAAACUGUUGAAAAGAGACAAGAAAAAUGGCAUUGAAUGAUGCCAAAUUGAAUUAAAAAACUCAGCUUAUCUUCGUGAUUUUUAACUUUCAUAUUGAGGUUCCCCAUAAAGAAUAAUGUACAAACAAAAAGUAAUCCAAAUUCGGGAUUCCCCUGCUACACCAGAGUGACCAAAUGGUUAUCAUUUCUUUAACAAAUUUAAGGUCCAAAGUUUAAAUCUCAUCUUUCGCUUGACUUCUCAUUUGUAACAAAUAAAAUAGUCCUAGAAAAUGUAAUUAAACUAUGUAAAUUGCACAAGAAUUCCCUCUCUUCUUUUUGUUUUAUUUUUGAGACAUAAGAUAAGUUUAUCAUGAGCUCAAAUCCAUGAGAUUAUUUGCUCCCAAAAAAUUCAAAAAAAAAAAAAAAGUAGUUGAAAAGAGAAAAAAGGAAAUGACAGACAAAGUAGGAUGAUGAUAUCAAUAUGGAAAACGAUGUAGUAGGAAGAAACUCAUGGAAAUAGUAUUCGCUUUAUGGGGAAGGUAACUGCCAAAACAACUCCUCUGUUCUUCCAAUCAAAACUCCUCUGUAUUUCUCUGUUGUAUCUCUUCACCACUCUUUUCCUUGCUCUCUACCAUUCUUUCUCCUCCACCAAAUGCCUCUUUAGAUCCUCUCCUUUUGAUCCAAUCCAAACGCCACUCUUUUCUUACCCUCCUUCCUAUGGAGAACACAAGUAUGCUAUCCCCACCGACCGCUCUUCUUGUUCCUCCCCUGUCUUCUUCUCUGGUAUGUUGGCUUAUCUCAGAUUUUUUCUUCAUGGAUAUUUUUUGUUUAAGUUUUGGUUUUGAUGAUUGUUUUUUUUAUUUUUGACUAAAGGGUAUUGGAUUUUGUGACCAGAUUAUGGGAUGGUGGUGGAGGAGAUCCAUAAUUUGUGUAAGAAUUUUUCAGCAUUUUUACCGGCUCUGAGGUAUUUACAGGGGAAAGGUGACACUUUUGGUGGAUAUUUGAGUACCCUGAAGAGAAUUUCUUAUUUCAAUCAUUCCAAUAAUGGCAUUAAAGUCCCUUGUGGAUUUUUCAAAAAGUUUCCUGUUAGUAAUUCUGGUUAGUUUUUAUCUGAAUUCUCUAGAAUUUGAUAUUUGGGGUCAUCUUCUUCCCUUUUUUUCUUGUCUAGUUCAAUUAAUGAAAUUGACGCAGCUUAAAACUUUAUCCCUUUUUUUAUUCAGUUUCUAGCUUGAAUUGAGACCUGCCCUUGCAUUUUCAUUCCAUUUUUGUGAAAAUCCUCAAUCCUGUCUCAAACUAAUGCUACAAUCUAUCUCUAUUUUGUUCAUAUAUGGUUGAUUCUCUUUUAAUUUAUUUGUUUAUGGUAUAAUUCAGAUCGAGUUGCCAUGGAAAGCUGCAAUGGAGUUGUUGUAGUAUCUGCAAUCUUCAAUGAUCAUGACAAAAUCCGGCAACCAAUAGGUCUUGGAUCUAAAACCAUAGAUAGUGUAUGCUUCUUCAUGUUUAUAGAUGACAUAACCCUUAAAGGGCUUUAUUAUCACCAAGUAAUAACACAAGACUCACCUGACUACAAAGUCGGAGUCUGGAGAAUCGUUAAAGUUUCAUCGAAGAAAUUGUAUGAGAAUCCUGCAAUGAAUGGGGUGAUACCAAAAUACUUAGUUCAUAGACUUUUUCCGAACUCGAAAUUCAGCAUUUGGAUAGACGCGAAGGUUCAGCUUAUGGUUGAUCCAUUGUUGUUGAUACAUUCUCUUGUUGAGUCACCGACCGCGGACAUGGCUAUAUCAAAGCAUCCUUAUUAUAUUCAUACCAUGGAAGAAGCUAUGGCGACGGCAAGGUGGAAGAAAUGGUUGGAUGUUGAUGCUUUGACCAGGCAAAUGGAGACAUACUGUGAAAAUGGGUUGCAGCCAUGGACUUCCGAUAAGCUCCCCUAUACCACAGGUAAUAAUCUCAUGCACUCCUCCUACUUUAUUUAAUUGUUUCUUGUGAUGAUAAAUUUUCUUAGAUGAAUUUCUUUGUCAAAAAACUGUUUAGGAACACAAGGUGAAAAUUGAUAUCUUUCCUUCCAUUUCAAAGAAAUUUUCUUUGCAUAAUAUUGAAUAAACCCAUGCAGAAAAAUGAUGCCAGAACUGAGAUGGAACAUAUUCCUUUUCCUCUAGUGAUCAGUUUGAAGGAAGAGACAAUUUAUUUUUUAGAUUCUCACACUAAAGUUGUUCAUCAAGCUUUUAUUACACAAGCUAAGCUGUCUGAAUAUUAUAUAUAGUCUUUUUUCUUCAUAAUAGUAUUUAUGUAAUGGUUUGGUUAGUUUUAGAUUUAACCAACAAAUUCAUUAUAUUUCUAAGACGACCAACACAAGUAGAAUUCACAAAAAUACAUAAAAAAAAAUUACGCACAAAUCCCUUGUUAAAUGUGUAUUAGGUUUAUGAUCAUUAGAAAUGAUUAUGAAUUAUAGAAAAAUUAGCACUAUAGUUUCAUUUUGAUUAUUAGCUACCGACCGUAUCAUGACUGCUUGCGUAGUUUUGAAGUUCCUUGAAAGCACGUCCAUGAUCCCAAUGGGAUUAGUUUUUUGAAUUUUGACCUUUAAGAAAAUCCAUGAAUAAGUUUACUACUUACUAGUAUUUAUACGUAUGGGUAUUUUCUUUCUCUUCUUCCCCUCAUGUUUUACCUUAAAAAAAUAAAAUAUGUACCACAUAAUCUUAUUGCAGUUUUGUUUGGCCAAAAAGAAAAAUCUUAUCACUUUGUCCUAAAACCAAGAAGACCCAACUUGACGGCUACUACAUCAUGUUCUUGCUAUGAGAUGUAGGAGUUUGAUAGAAAGCUAAAUGUAUGGUCCCAAAAAAAGAUGCAAAAGAAACGUCUUAAUCAAUAAUGAAUAAUCGAUGGGGUUCCAAUAAGCAUGUUAUCAUGUUAUGCUUCCCUAUCGAAUAGCAAUGCAGCUUUCAAUGAUGUUGAAGUUUACUGUUAUAUCCAUAUCAAUCAGAAUUCUUGAAUUACCAUAUAUAUCUGUUUUUUCUUAUGUUUGGUUGGCAGAUGUACCAGAUAGUGCAUUAAUCUUGAGGAAACAUGGAUUGGGAAGCAAUCUUUUCUCCUGCCUUUUGUUCAAUGAGUUGGAAGCAUUUAACCCUAGGGACCAACUGGGUUUUGCAUUCGUGAGAGAUCAAAUGAACCCAAAGCUGAAGUUGAACAUGUUUGAGGUGGAAGUUUUUGAGCAGAUUGUAGUGGAAUACAGGCACAACCUUAAAAAAUUGGGGAAUAUUGAAGCUAGGUCGUCUGCAGGGACCAGACCCAAAGGGAACAAAAGGGGCAGUCAUGAAAAUUUCUAUUUGAAUGGCAGCAGUUGCCAGAAGUAUCUUUUGGAAAUGUGGGGUGAAUCCCAUAGUUGAUUUUGUCCCUGACUAAGGGGUCAAAGAAUAUGAAAGGAAAAAAGAAAAGGUCAAAUAGAGGGAAAAAAUGGAAAAAAAACAAACCAAACGACAUUUCGCAGAGAAAAGCUGACAAACAUAACAGGUUGAAGGGGUAUCCAACUAUUUUAUUAAUGAUUUUUCGGCUGUGGCGGUGGUAUUAUUCUUUCGAAGCUUUUCAAUUCAAGUUUCAACCAAGGCAUUAAAAUAAAGAGUAAGUGGGUGGUGUUUUUCGGUCGAUGCUGCAAAUUGGUGUACCCUUUGAAGUCGCUGUGGAUUUACUGUUCACAAACAGCUUAAUUUCAGAAGUUAUUCAAGUAAUUAAUGAAGUUCCACAUAAAAAAUGGUUUGUUAAUUGUCCUUGGGAUUGGCCUCCACUCUUUUUUUUAUCAGUUCCUCUUUUCCUUUUUCAUUUUCUUGUAAAUUUAUAUUCGGUUGUAUGCAAAGUUAUAAAUUCUUUUAUGAAAAUAUAGACUGUAAAAUGGAAAAUAAUUUUUUUUUCUUUUCCUUAGUGUGCUUGAUAGUAAAGAUGCAAAAAUUAAAAGAAAGUAUUUUUUGAUUAAAAUAUAUUUUUAACCAUUAUUUGAUAGAGUUAAAAAUUAAAAAAGAUUAUGCUACCAUUAUAAUUUUUAAAAAUUAAGUUGAAAAUGUAAACUCUAUAUGUGAUGUACAAUCUUGUAAAUAUGCAAAAAUUUAUACCUUGCUCUUGCUCAUUUCCUCUUCUUUUAUUUUUUUCAAUUUGCAAUAAUUUCUUUUUUGAGUAAGUGUGAAAAAUAUUUAUCUUUCCUUUUUUUUUUCUUUUUUCUUAUUUUCAUUCCCUAUCAAUUAGAUCCAAAAAAAUAUCUUUCUCAUUUUCUCUUUUAUUUUUAGUAUGGACUUCGAGCCUGCCAUAUUUUAACAUGGGCUCCUGUUUCUUUUAAUGGAGCUUUGAGUCCACAUUGUCAUAUCAGAUGGAGACCAAAUUAAUGCUAUAAUCAAACCUUGUCUAAGACCCCAUCCAAAUCGGGCCGGGUGGAUAAUCCAUUCUUUGAACAGAUAUAAACGUUUGAUUUGAAAAUGAUUAAUUUUGAUACGAUCAAAAUAUGUUUUAUAUAUAUAUAUAGAUCGAUAAAUAGAUAGAUAAAAUAAAAAAACAACUAAUAUCUUUUGUUUUAUAUUUUCCAUAAUCCAGCAAUAUCCUUCACGUCUCACGAUUUUUUUUGCCUCAUAAUUAACAUAUAAUUGGCAAGCUUACUAGUGCACAUACACUAUAAUUAAUGGUGUGUACAGUGUGAGUCUUCAUUUCCAUUUCUUUAUAUGAAAAAAAAAUCCUCAUUUCCAAUAUCAUCUUUAAAAAUCCGUUUUUUUAUUUUAGUAUCAAAAUAAAAUCAAUCAAUGUGUGCAUUAAUAAAUUGCUUUUAAUUUCAAUAUAAUAACAUGCAUUUCAUUUGUUGCUUAUAAUAAUACCAUAUAAAGAAUGAAAAAUAAAUCAUAGAAAUGUGCAAAUCUUUACAAACAAACUUCAAAAUAUAUAUAAAAAAAAAAAAGAUAAAAUUCUUUAAAUAAAGAAAUUAUUAAGAAAAUAAAAAUAAACUGCCGUUUUAAAUUCUCCCACUUUCUCUCCAAAAGGCAAAAGUGCCUAUAUAUAAGGACACUGGGAUCGUUACAAUUUGCAUUCUCACAAGUAAUGAACAUGGCAUCAAAGCAAAUAGCAAGUCGCCGAGAAGGGGCUGAGAUCUACCAUGGAGCGGCUCUUUGCAAGCAAAAAGAGCAUGAGCUCCUCGAUCACUUCCAUCUGCCAAAAGGGUUGAUGCCUUUGAGCAACCUCCUCGAGGUCGGGUUCAACCGGACCACAGGCUUCAUCUGGCUGAAACAGAACAAGAC